CCCUUAGAUGUUCUGGGCCGCACGCGCGCUACACUGAUGCAUGUCUCGAGUGUCCUUGUUCGAUAGAUCUGGGUAAUCUUUUGAAACUGCAUCGUGGUUGGGCUUGGCAACUGUAAUUGUUUGCCACAAACGAGGAAUUCCUAGUAAGCGCAAGUCAUCAACUUGCAUUGAUUACGUCCCUGCCCUUUGUACACACCGCCCGUCGCUCCUACCGAUUGAGCAUUCCGAUGAGUGUUGGGGAGAGUUUGUUUGUGUCGGGUGACUGUCACAUUCUUUGCUCUAACUUUUGCGAAUCUUAGUGCUUAGAGGAAGGAGAAGUCGUAACA
rnacentral:rRNA from 1 species